rnacentral:rRNA from 1 species
ACACUGGCACUGAAACACGGGCCAGACUCCUACGGGAGGCAGCAGUGGGGAAUCUUGCACAAUGGGGGAAACCCUGAUGCAGCGACGCCGCGUGAGCGAUGAAGCCCUUCGGGGUGUAAAGCUCUUUCGGCAGGGAAGAUUAUGACGGUACCUGCAGAAGCAGCUGCGGCUAACUACGUGCCAGCAGCCGCGGUAAUACGUAGGCAGCAAGCGUUGUUCGGAGUUACUGGGCGUAAAGGGUGUGUAGGAGGCGCGCUAAGUUCCGUGUGAAAUCUCCCGGCUCAACCGGGAGGGUGCGCGGAAAACUGGCGGGCUAGAGUACGGGAUGGGAGAGUAGAAUUCCUGGUGUAGCGGUGAAAUGCGUAGAUAUCAGGAGGAAUACCGGUGGUGUAGACGGCUCUCUGGACCGUAACUGACACUGAAACACGAAAGCGUGGGUAGCAAACAGGAUUAGAUACCCUGGUAGUCCACGCCCUAAACGAUGCAUAUUUGGUGUAGGUCAUUCAGUUGAUCUGUGCCGGAGCUAACGCGUUAAAUAUGCCGCCUGGGGAGUACAGUCGCAAGGCUGAAACUCAAAGGAAUUGACGGGGGCCCGCACAAGCGGUGGAGCAUGUGGUUCAAUUCGACGCAACGCGAAGAACCUUACCUGGGCUCGAACGGCUAGUCAGCGAUCGUGGAAACACGGUUACUCCGCAAGGGGGUCUAGUCGAGGUGCUGCAUGGCUGUCGUCAGCUCGUGUCGUGAGAUGUUGGGUUAAGUCCCGCAACGAGCGCAACCCUUGUCCUGUGUUGCCAUGCCGAAAGGCGGGACUCGCAGGAGACCGCCAGCGAUAAGCUGGAGGAAGGUGGGGAUGACGUCAAGUCCUCAUGGCCUUUAUGUCCAGGGCUACACACGUGCUACAAUGGCCGGUACAAUGCGCCGCUAAGUCGCAAGACGGAGCCAAUCGCAAAAAACCGAUCUCAGUUCGGAUUGCAGGCUGCAACUCGCCUGCAUGAAGCUGGAAUCGCUAGUAAUGGCAGAUCAGAACGCUGCCGUGAAUACGUUCCCGGGCCUUGUACACACUGCCCGUCACAUCACGAAAGUGGAUUGUACUAGAAGUCCGCACGCUGACCGCAAGGGAGCAGCGGCCCAAGGUAUGAUUCAUGAUUGGGGUGAAGUCGAAACAAGGUAGCCGUAGGAGAACCUGCGGCUG